rnacentral:rRNA from 1 species
AUUGAACGCUGGCGGCAGGCCUAACACAUGCAAGUCGAGCGGUAGCACAGAGAGCUUGCUCUCGGGUGACGAGCGGCGGACGGGUGAGUAAUGUCUGGGAAACUGCCUGAUGGAGGGGGAUAACUACUGGAAACGGUAGCUAAUACCGCAUAACGUCGCAAGACCAAAGUGGGGGACCUUCGGGCCUCAUGCCAUCAGACGUGCCCAGAUGGGAUUAGCUAGUAGGUGGGGUAACGGCUCACCUAGGCGACGAUCCCUAGCUGGUCUGAGAGGAUGACCAGCCACACUGGAACUGAGACACGGUCCAGACUCCUACGGGAGGCAGCAGUGGGGAAUAUUGCACAAUGGGCGCAAGCCUGAUGCAGCCAUGCCGCGUGUGUGAAGAAGGCCUUCGGGUUGUAAAGCACUUUCAGCGGGGAAGAAGGCGGUGAGGUUAAUAACCUUGUCGAUUGACGUUACCCGCAGAAGAAGCACCGGCUAACUCCGUGCCAGCAGCCGCGGUAAUACGGAGGGUGCAAGCGUUAAUCGGAAUUACUGGGCGUAAAGCGCACGCAGGCGGUCUGUCAAGUCGGAUGUGAAAUCCCCGGGCUCAACCUGGGAACUGCAUUCGAAACUGGCAGGCUAGAGUCUUGUAGAGGGGGGUAGAAUUCCAGGUGUAGCGGUGAAAUGCGUAGAGAUCUGGAGGAAUACCGGUGGCGAAGGCGGCCCCCUGGACAAAGACUGACGCUCAGGUGCGAAAGCGUGGGGAGCAAACAGGAUUAGAUACCCUGGUAGUCCACGCCGUAAACGAUGUCGAUUUGGAGGUUGUGCCCUUGAGGCGUGGCUUCCGGAGCUAACGCGUUAAAUCGACCGCCUGGGGAGUACGGCCGCAAGGUUAAAACUCAAAUGAAUUGACGGGGGCCCGCACAAGCGGUGGAGCAUGUGGUUUAAUUCGAUGCAACGCGAAGAACCUUACCUGGUCUUGACAUCCACAGAACUUUCCAGAGAUGGAUUGGUGCCUUCGGGAACUGUGAGACAGGUGCUGCAUGGCUGUCGUCAGCUCGUGUUGUGAAAUGUUGGGUUAAGUCCCGCAACGAGCGCAACCCUUAUCCUUUGUUGCCAGCGGUUAGGCCGGGAACUCAAAGGAGACUGCCAGUGAUAAACUGGAGGAAGGUGGGGAUGACGUCAAGUCAUCAUGGCCCUUACGACCAGGGCUACACACGUGCUACAAUGGCAUAUACAAAGAGAAGCGACCUCGCGAGAGCAAGCGGACCUCAUAAAGUAUGUCGUAGUCCGGAUUGGAGUCUGCAACUCGACUCCAUGAAGUCGGAAUCGCUAGUAAUCGUAGAUCAGAAUGCUACGGUGAAUACGUUCCCGGGCCU